UAAGGAAUAUUGGACAAUGGAGGCAACUCUGAUCCAGCCAUGCCGCGUGAAGGAACAAGGCCCUAUGGGUUGUAAACUUCUUUUAGACGGGACAAAACCCCUUUACGUGUAAAGGGUUGAUGGUACUGUCAGAAUAAGCAUCGGCUAACUUCGUGCCAGCAGCCGCGGUAAUACGAAGGAUGCAAGCGUUAUCCGGAAUUAUUGGGUUUAAAGGGUGCGUAGGCGGACUAAUAAGUCAGUGGUGAAAGCCUGCAGCUUAACUGCAGAAUUGCCAUUGAUACUGUUAGUCUUGGGUACAGUUGAGGUAGGCGGAAUGUGUCAUGUAGCGGUGAAAUGCUUAGAUAUGACACAGAACACCGAUUGCGAAGGCAGCUUGCUAAGCUGUAACUGACGCUGAGGCACGAAAGCGUGGGGAGCAAACA
rnacentral:rRNA from 1 species